rnacentral:rRNA from 1 species
AACGAACGCUGGCGGCAGGCUUAACACAUGCAAGUCGAGCGCAUCCUUCGGGGUUAGCGGCAGACGGGUGAGUAACGCGUGGGAAUCUACCUUUUGCUACGGAAUAGCUCCGGGAAACUGGAAUUAAUACCGUAUGUGCCCUUAGGGGGAAAGAUUUAUCGGCAAGAGAUGAGCCCGCGUUGGAUUAGCUAGUUGGUGGGGUAAAGGCCUACCAAGGCGACGAUCCAUAGCUGGUCUGAGAGGAUGAUCAGCCACAUUGGGACUGAGACACGGCCCAAACUCCUACGGGAGGCAGCAGUGGGGAAUAUUGGACAAUGGGCGCAAGCCUGAUCCAGCCAUGCCGCGUGAGUGAUGAAGGCCUUAGGGUUGUAAAGCUCUUUCACCGGAGAAGAUAAUGACGGUAUCCGGAGAAGAAGCCCCGGCUAACUUCGUG